UACGAAGGGGCUAGCGUUGCUCGGAAUCACUGGGCGUAAAGGCGCGAUAGGCGGCCGUGAUUCAAGUCAGGGGUGAAAGCCUGUGGCUCAACCACAGAAUUGCCUUUGAUACUGUUUGGCUAGAGACCGGAAGAGGUAAGUGGAACUGCGAGUGUAGAGGUGAAAUUCGUAGAUAUUCGCAAGAACACCAGUGGCGAAGGCGGCUUACUGGUCCGGUUCUGACGCUGAGGCGCGAAAGCGUGGGGAGCAAACAGG
rnacentral:rRNA from 1 species